CGUAACACGUGAGCAACCUGCCCCACAGACCGGGAUAGCCCGAGGAAACUCGGAUUAACACCGGAUACUCUCACCGGACCGCAUGGCCUGGUGAGGAAAGACUUUUGUGCUGUGGGAUGGGCUCGCGGCCUAUCAGCUAGUUGGUGAGGUAAUGGCUCACCAAGGCAACGACGGGUAGCUGGUCUGAGAGGAUGAUCAGCCACACUGGAACUGAGAUACGGUCCAG
rnacentral:rRNA from 1 species